rnacentral:rRNA from 1 species
GGGCAAGCGUUAUCCGGAUUUACUGGGUGUAAAGGGAGCGUAGACGGCAUGGCAAGUCUGAUGUGAAAACUUGGGGCUCAACCCCAAGACUGCAUUGGAAACUGUUAAGCUAGAGUGCAGGAGAGGUAAGCGGAAUUCCUAGUGUAGCGGUGAAAUGCGUAGAUAUUAGGAGGAACACCAGUGGCGAAGGCGGCUUACUGGACUGUAACUGACGUUGAGGCUCGAAAGCGUGGGGAGCA